AACGUAGGACGCAAGCGUUAUCCGGAGUACUGGGCGUAAAGCGCGGGCAGGCGGUCGGGCAAGUGGGGGUGUGAAAUCUCCCAGCUUAACUGGGAGAGGCCAUUCCAAACUGCUUGACUGGAGGGCAGUAGAGGUAGGCGGAAUUCCGGGUGGAGUGGUGAAAUGCGGUAGAGAUCCGGAGGAACACCAGAGGCGAAGGCGGACCUACUGGGCUGCACCUGACGCUGAGCCGCGAAAGCUAGGGGAGCGAACGGG
rnacentral:rRNA from 1 species